rnacentral:lncRNA from 1 species
CGUUUGUCUUUGCAGCGGUCACUUCCAAGGGAAAGCAUCCAGGCAGAAUUUCCCAGGAGGGGCCUCGAUGGGAGGAGGGGGGCAUUCAGGGGGGCAUUCAGAUGCAGAAGGGUUAAGGGCCCCUCGGACCCAUCCUCCCACCGGGGUGGGAACCGGUCACCCCCUCCCGUCGCGCAGCGCAGAUCUGCCCAUUCCCCUUGUUUUAGGAGAGGAGAGCUCGGCCGGGGCGGGGAGGGGCCGGCUAGGCCGGGCGGCGGCGGGAGGAGGCCCCCGGGGUUUUUAAGCCAGAAAGCCGGGGACGGCAGCCGGGCGGGGGGGGGGGCGCCCCUAGGCCUUGGCACCCAGAAGGGCUCUCCGAGGCUUUCCCGAGAGUCCGCCUGCAGAACGGGGGCGGCCGGCACCUGGGGAAGCUCUCCCGGCGCGGGGCGGGGCGCGGGGCGCGGGGCGCGGGGCGGGGGGCGCAGCCCUGAGCCUCGCCCAGAAGCGAGUUCGGGUUCCGGGCCGGGGGCUCGCCCCAAGCCGCGGCCCCGAGCCCCUCCCGAAAGCCGGUUCCCGAGCGAGUGGGGCUUCAGGCGCAGGGCCGCGGCCUCGCGCUCCCGAGGGCCCCCGCGCCCCGACCCCGGCGUCCCCGCGGGUGGGCGUCCCCGGGCGGCCCGAGGGCGGGGAUCCCGCGGGGCGCGGGCGCGGCGGUGCCGGGGGCUGGCGGGACGCGGCCCCGGGGGGCGGCUUCUGCGGCUCGGCGGCUCGGGGCGGGGCCGGGGCCGGGGUCGGGGCCGGGGUCGGGGCCGGGGUCGGGGCCGGGGUCGGGGCGCCCUCCCAGCCGCCCCCGUGCGCGAGCCGGGCCGUCCAGGCUUCCCCGCCGGCCACGCGUCCGGGUCCCGCCGCCGCCCGGGUCCCGCCCCGACGCCGCCCCCCGCCCCCCGCCCCCCGCCCGGGGGCCCCAGGCAGACGGGCGCUCCCCGGACUUACCCCGCGGGGCCCCCGCGCGCGGCCGCCCCGGCCCGUCGGAUCAUGCCGCCGGCUCCGGCCGCUGCUCGGGGGCUCGGGCCGCUGCUCGGGGGGCUCCGGCCGCUGCUCGGGGGCUCGCACCGCUGCUCGGGGGCUCAGGCGGCUGCUCGGGGGGCUCGGGCCGCUGCUCGGGGGCUCGCGCCGCUGCUCGGGGGCUCCGGCCGCUGCUCGGGGGCUCGCGCCGCUGCUCGGGGGCUCGGCCGCUGCUGGGGGGCUCGGGCCGCUGCUGGGGGGCUCGCACCGCUGCUCGGGGGCUCAGGCGGCUGCUCGGGGGGGUCGGGCCGCUGCUCCGGGGCUCGCACCGCUGCUCGGGGGCUCCGGCCGCUGCUCGGGGGCUCGCGCCGCUGCUCGGGGGCUCCGGCCGCUGCUGGGGGGCUCGGGCCGCUGCUGGGGGGCUCGCACCGCUGCUCGGGGGCUCCGGCCGCUGCUCGGGGGCUCAGGCGGCGGGCGGCGCGGGCCGCCGUGUCCCGGGCGCCCGCAUGGCCCCGCCGGGCCCUCGCAAGGGCCGCCCCGCCGCCGAGUGGGAGCCGCCGCCGCGCCCCGGGCCUCGCUCGCUUCCACUUCCUGUAUCGGGGCGAGCGGGGCUUUCAGGAAGAGGCUGGCCUUGGUGGUCAAGGGCUGUCUGCGGACGCGGCGGCCGAGCCCCAGCCCAGCCCGAGCCGGGCACACGGAAGCCCGCGAGCCUGCAGGCGGGGCGGGGAGGGGGGGGCGCCGGAGGCUCCCGCAGCCAGGUGCCCAGAGGGAAACUCAGGGAAAGUCUCCCACCCUCCUAGGGGGAAGAGCCCGAGGGCGGGAAGGCGCCGAGGGCUGCACCCACUGGCGGGUGGGGAAGCGAGAGCCACGAGCCUCAGCCUCGCCUCCUGCCUCAAGGAGCCCAGCACUCAGCCAGGGGCAGCCCCAGACCAGAGGCAGGCGGCCGCCUCCACAUCCCUGACAGGUGACCUUGCAUGCCUCCGCUAA